UACAGAGGGUGCAAGCGUUGUUCGGAAUUAUUGGGCGUAAAGCGCGUGUAGGCGGCUUGGCAAGUCGGGUGUGAAAGCCCUCAGCUCAACUGAGGAAGUGCGCCCGAAACUGCUGAGCUCGAGUACCGGAGAGGGUAGCGGAAUUCCCCAAGUAGAGGUGAAAUUCGUAGAUAUGGGGAGGAACACCGGUGGCGAAGGCGGCUACCUGGACGGUCACUGACGCUGAGACGCGAAAGCGUGGGUAGCAAACAGG
rnacentral:rRNA from 1 species